UUUAAAGAAGACUUAGUGACCUUAGAUAAUUCGGAGAAACACAUGCGCUUUGAACGUGCUUCCUGCUUCGUAGUAACGUGUGAUUAAAUAUCCUUAAUCAGCUAAUACGUUUAUAAUACUUGUGAUCGGUGCUCAUAAUGAAUUUCUCAACUACCUGAUACUCACAUAUAUCACAACAUUAUCCUCUGUGAAACAUAUCCGUAAGUAUUAAGCAAUGAAAAUUUUCAAUGUUUUAAAUUCUGUAGACGUUCGGUUUUUGGCGCGUAGGUUAUUUAUGUAUUACGUUCUAUGAACAAUUUGUGCGGAUUUAGCUGCUAUUUCUAUUCAUGGAAGAUAGAUGUCCAUGAUUUAUUCGAGAUUUUGGCUACUCUUUCUAGCUACGGAAGCCACCUUCUGCUUUCUCCAUCGUUGCCCCGUUUGUUUGUUUUAGUUUGAGAAAUGUUCUGAAGUGUUUAGUAGCCAAUACUUUAUUUUAAUUUAUCGAUUUGUGUCCAACCAAGUAGUAAUUUGUUUGCUCAUAUCUUUCUACAAAAUGGAUAAUAUUAAAUAGAAAUAGCUGAAAAUACAUCUCAUGCGGUGAAAAUCUUACACUGUUGUUUCUAUAUAAUUUCAGAACAUCUGACAACAUCGAUGUAACAGAAUGAACAUCCUCAAUAUCUA
rnacentral:lncRNA from 1 species